UACGUAGGGUUCGAGCGUUGUUCGGAAUUACUGGGCGUAAAGGGCGCGUAGGCGGUUCGUUAAGUCCUGUGUGAAAUCCCCCGGCUCAACUGGGGAACUGCACAGGAAACUAGCGGGCUUGAGUUCGGGAGAGGGAAGCGGAAUUCCGGGUGUAGCGGUGAAAUGCGUAGAUAUCCGGAAGGAACACCGGUGGCGAAGGCGGCUCCUGGACCGACACUGACGCUGAGGCGCGAAGCUAGGGGAGCAAACGGG
rnacentral:rRNA from 1 species